ACGAACGCUGGCGGCGUGCCUAAUACCUGCAAGUAGAACGCUGAAGAGAGGAGCUUGCUCUUCUUGGAUGAGUUGCGAACGGGUGAGUAACGCGUAGGUAACCUGCCUUGUAGCGGGGGAUAACUAUUGGAAACGAUAGCUAAUACCGCAUAACAAUGGAUGACACAUGUCAUUUAUUUGAAAGGGGCAAUUGCUCCACUACAAGAUGGACCUGCGUUGUAUUAGCUAGUAGGUGAGGUAAUGGCUCACCUAGGCGACGAUACAUAGCCGACCUGAGAGGGUGAUCGGCCACACUGGGACUGAGACACGGCCCAGACUCCUACGGGAGGCAGCAGUAGGGAAUCUUCGGCAAUGGGGGCAACCCUGACCGAGCAACGCCGCGUGAGUGAAGAAGGUUUUCGGAUCGUAAAGUUCUGUUGUAAGUCAAGAACGGGUGUGAGAGUGGAAAGUUCACACUGUGACGGUAGCUUACCAGAAAGGGACGGCUAACUACGUG
rnacentral:rRNA from 1 species